AAGGAAUCAGACUGUCCAAGGUCAUAGAAUCAUCAUGUCUAGGCUAUAUCAGAGGUCAAGAUUCGGAGAACACACCUUGCCAGACAGUUGUUAGAGGAAAGAAACUCUUCCAAGAAACUUCAAUCAAUGACUUGUUAGCAGAAUUGGACAAAACGGUUUCAUAACAUUUAAGUCACACCCACAAGGUACAGCUCUUAUACCUACUUUGGCCUCUCAGAAACCACCACAUGCAUUCCAAAGAAACUCCAUUGUGGCAGGAAUAAUGCAUAAUGACCCAGACUACUAAAAUUAAAUGUCAGCCCAAAGUGUGUGGAGUCCUUUUAUCAUCUGCCCAUCAAAGUUUCUGAAAUUGGUGAAUAAUGUGCAGAAGCAAAUGGAGUAAGGAUGCAAAAUCAGGACCUCCAGGCAUGGAAAUGAAUGUUAGUUUUCUCAAACCACUCUUAGGAGCUGCUGCAUUGAGAGUCCUGAUGUUCUGUGCCUUGUGACUAAGUACUACAGAAGAACAUUUCAAGGCUAGCAACUUUUUCCC
rnacentral:lncRNA from 1 species